GUGGCAUCUCUCUUCCACUCGAUUGGAAGAACCAUCAAUUUGACUUUUCAAUCAUAUUUUCGUCUUUUGAAUUAUUAGUAUUAUGUAAUUUAACGAUCGUCCACCGAUUUUCAGCACAAUCGGUACGGUUAUUUAAAAGUAAUGUUGAAUAUUCAAUACGUUUUGAACCAACAAUGGUGUUUUACAGUUACACAUAAUUCAAAUUACACCCGGGAUCUUUUGCACAAUGUUUUAAAAAAUAUUGUUACACAUUAUAAAUAAAUUUGGUGUUUUUGGGAUGCGUAUUUGUUAUAAAAUUGUGUUAUAAAAACAAAAUAAUAUUAUUCCCCUACCGUGAACAAAAUUUUUAUAAAUCUGUAUAUAACAUCUGAAACUCUGAUUUCUCAAGCUGGCAUCGUGUGCAUGCGGUCAGCGUCGCUAAAUUCCAAUCCAAAGGUUGUAGGUUCGAAUUCCGGCAAUACUAAAUUUUUUUUGUACUUGUAAAAAUAAAUACGGUGUACACAACAUUUCAAAAGUAAUAAAUAUAUUUGAAUUAAUGAAUGCAAAUAAAAGUAAAUUUAUUAAUCAAAUUAUACAUUUCAUUUCACUCCUUCGUAUCCAUACAAAAUAGUGAUAAUUCAAUAAAAAUGAUUCAAUUUUAUUCAUAAAAGUAUGCAGAGGUAGAUUUUAUCAUACAAAAGAUAGAAAAAUUAAAAAAAAAUUUCUUCCUCAAAGAAUAUAAUAUUUUUAAUGCCUAAAUGGUUUGGUUGCAAAAACCUAUUACGGCUCAGUCUCAGGCCGAAUAUGAUAUUUCCUUUUCUUCUGGAUCAAUAAUGUCAUCAAUGUUUUGUUAUGACGUCACGUUAAACUAUCGUCCGUAAACCGACUUUACAGACAACCAAUUUUUUGAGUUUCUGCCCCUGACAGGUGUAAAAGAGUUAAGUUUGAUUUUAAGAUAAAAUACAUACAGUACUCAACUUUUUUAUUUUUGGUACUGCAGUAACUGAAGAAAAUAAAUGCACUAUUGUUGCAUUCUAUACAGUAUGUAUAGUUAUAAAUGUUCAGAGCUUUCAGUACGAACUUGCUCGUGUGCCCAAGAACAAAUUGUGGCCAUGCUGGCGGUGCUUGGCCACAUGCAGUGACUGCAUCUAUAGUGUAUUUGUGGUUGUUUGUAUGUUCGUGCCCACCAUUUAAGUUCUUUAACUCUCAGUAGGCAUUUCACAAAUACAAAUAAGAAAUAAAUAAAAAUUAAUAAAUAAAAAUCAAAGUUAAUGGACAGACAUUAGUAGAACAUUAUAAAAAAAUUUGAAACAAGCUAAAAAAUAAUAUCUCAUCCCAUUUAUACGCAACAGAAUAAGUACAAAAUAAUUAUUACAUUAAAAUUAAAAUAAACAAUUUUUCUAACAUUCUCCUGUCAAAAGUGAGGAAAAAGAAAAACAUGUGUGCCACUGAUUUUAUGCUUGUGCCCUAAAAAAAAUCUAGCGAUGGUUCAAAUCCACUAUUAUUGAAAUCCAAAUAUCAAAUUCGAAUCAUGCAAGAGUGCCUAUAAUCUCAGUCUAUAUCUUAAGGAAUCCAAUAAUACAUGAGCAAAAAUACAGAAAAUAAGUUCUGAAAAAAAAAAAAAAAAUUGUGACAAAAUGUUUUUUGAAAUGCUAAAAAAAAACUUUCCCAAACCAAUGUAGUUGGUGGCACAUAAUUUUUUUAUAUAGCUUCUGGAAAAAGAAAUAAAUUUCCCCUCCUCAAAUAUAUAUUCUUUUUCCAAUCAUUUUUCCUCAAAUAUCAUAUCAUUAAAAUACUAGUGAUUUGAUAGUAAUUGAGGUUUUUAUUAGUCUAUCAUUAAAAAAACUUAUUUAUCUAUUUUACAAGAUUUCUUUUAAAGAAGUGCAUAGCAAAAUUUACACUUAAUUCAAACACCAUGGUCAACAGUUCAAAUCAUGCAACAUUUAAAGCCAGCCAAGAAAUUAAAUCACACAAAACAUAUUGUUACGUUGUAUGUUUUUGCCCGGCUAAGCACACAUAGAAACGUAACAAAACAAAACAAACAAUGUUCUUGAGGAAUGUUUCAUUACUAUGGUUCUACGUUAUUUGGAAAUAAAAGAGUUUAUUAAAUUAUCUUUGUUUAUUUCUUUAAAAAAAAAUGUUUUCGUCUCAUUGUUACAUGGCCUCAAUACACAAUUUUACAAAUGAAUUUAAUUAGAAAAACUUCGUUACUUGUACAGUUUUUGUCUUUUCUUAUACGAAUUUUAACGAUAUCUUUGAAUUUUGAUAGGAUGAGGUCCAAAUACAUACCACAGCACCAUACAUAUUGCCGUUGAUGGUCGAGGAGUCUUGUCACUCGCCGAUGAAAAAAAAAAAAAACUUAGUAAUGUCCCUUGGUUAAUUACCUAACUCAAGGUACCGUUGAUCGCGGACCGAAAUCGCACGAAGUCGGGCCGAUGCCGACGCCUAGGGCCUAAAUUUCUAGUUACAUAGUCCGAAAAAAAAAUGAACUUAGGUUAAAAAACUACGGCGUGGCCCCAGCCCCUAGGCGUUAAAUUGUCCCUUAGUAAUUUUUCAUUUGUCUGGCGACUUGCCGACGACGCGACCGAGUUCGGCGACGAUCGAGCAACAAGUGACUUGGUCGACGAGAUUACCUUCCCUUGUAAAGGUGAAAACAAGGGAGGCAACCCCGUGGGCCAACUGACCAAUCAGUGCACAUAAUUCCAAAACAUGACCAUAUAAGGAAAUUCGUACGGGCACAUCACUUGACGCCAGGGCUCGCCCUGAUUGGCUGGCUAGUGGUAGCCUCCAGAGACCCUUCCAGACGGUCGCUACAGCUGUGCGUACAACGUGACGCGUAAAUCCCAAACACGCAUUUACAAAGUUAAAAAUAGCUUUCUGGCGCCAGAGUGUCGCGCCUGUCUGCUCUUCCUUCUGUACCUUCCAGACUAUUCUCGAAUUAUUCCACUACAAUCUCAAUAGAAUUCAAAAUUUACCCAACUAAUUUAAAUAUAAUAUUCAAAUUUUAGCAAUUGAAGUUGAAAUUCACAUUCAAAAUUUUAGUUUAAAAAUUAUGUCCUGUAAAAUUAUAAUCUAUACUGCUUUAAUUACUGACAUUAAUUAUCAAAUGUCAACAUUAAUUAUUAUGAACUAGAGUUAACCCUCAAAUUAAUAAUUAUGUAUCUCAAGGAAAUAAGUAUUUUAAGGCUUUCCAUGAAAUUUAACCAAAGUAAUUAAUAACAAUUUUUAACAUAUCUGAACUGUUUUCUAUAUCAACAAAAAAAUAUCCUUCACCUCAAACUUAUUCUUAAUAUUCUUAUGACCCAUUUUGCAAUGCUAUAAUACUUUAGCUACUUAUGUAAAAAUUGACAUUUUGGAGACGUUAGUAAACCUAGUGACAGUGGAGCCAACCCACCACAGACAGAUGUGUGUGUACCAGCCGGCAGUGCGGUAGUGGCGCCCGAACCGCAGUCCCUCGCCGUCCCACGUGAAGUAGUCAGCCACCCACAGGACGGGGAGAGGCAGCCCGCGACGCUGGGCCUCUCUGAAGCUUCGCUGGAGCACACCCGCUGGCAACCAGAUGUGCGAGAACAACCACUCUACUUCUGCCUUGAGCGGCAAGGCACAGAUCCCUGGUCUGAGCAGCUCGUCGUCCAAGUUACAGCCACAAGGUCUCGCAGUGGGAUGACACAUCAGCACGGUCGGACGGAUGUUCACUGCUUAAAUGUCCCUAUGUGACGAGGCCAUCAGCUGUCGGUACUUCACCCCAACUUUAGGGUUUACAAAAACACUGGAGACCACCCACAAGUCUAAGUUUUCGAACAGCACUACAACCAGCUCAUAGGAGCAGUACAUUUUUCCUUUCAUCUUUGGUCCUUCCCUUAUGUGUUUGAGCCUGUGUAGCAAAUUAAGACUUCAAAUCAGAGGAAAGGCAGAAAGAUGGAUGAGUGUUGCGACUGUUUACUACGUAGCAGGUUUUUGUCUGCUACAGAUUGGAUGACAUGAAUUUAUAUCCAAGGGAGAAAAAUUAAAUGUGUUAUCAUUAGAACAAA